rnacentral:lncRNA from 1 species
CCAUAUAGACUCGUGACCUCUAUAAGGCGUCGAAUAGAUGUCUUACGGACGUCUGUACCCGUUAGGUUGAAACAAAAUGAUUUAUUGAUAAUUCAAAAUCAAUGCUCUCAGCAAGCUCACAUUUAAAUAAAAAAUGUCAAUCCAAAAAGACAUUGUUUGUCAGAGUUGAUGACAGAUAAUUUUCGAUUAGUCUUCUGAAUCUUUUCUCAUUAUAAGCAUAUGUAUAUGGAAGAAUCAAAUUGAUUUUGUCGAGUAUAGAAAAUAAAGGAAAACACGAUGUCAUUUUUUUCUUCAUUAAAAAUUUGUAGUUCAGUCGCCAUUGCAUGAAAUUUUGAUGCAUACACAUCUUUGAAAGAAGAGCCGACGCAAAUAAAUUUCAACUGGAUUGGUGCAUUAUCAAACCAAGGUAAGGUGCAUUAUCAAACCAAGGGAAAGAACUUUACGGUGCAUUAUCAAACCAAGGGAAAGAACUUUACGGUAAGGUGCAUUAUCAAACCAAGUUGAAUGACCAAACCUGGGGAACGGUUGCCAACAAUAGAACAUUAAUGUCACAUACAGCAAAAUUUGAUUUGGUCGAUAAUUUGAAAGACGAUUGUUUAAAGAGAAUAACAGAAUAAAUGGCUUAAUACAAUAGCAAAAAAAACUACUUUACUAUGUUUUUGUAUGCUUAAAUUGUACAUAAACACAAAAUGUUAAAACUUUUAGUUAUUUA